AGCUGGGCUGAGCUGGGCUGAGCUGGGCUAACUGAGCUGAGCUGGGCUAACUGAGCUGGGCUGGGCUGGGCUGAGCUGGGCUGAGCUAGGCUGAGCUGGGCUAACGGAGCUGGGCUGGCUGGGCUGAGCUGGGCUGAGCUGACUGAAUUGGGCUGAGCUGGGCUAACUGGGCUGAGCUGAGCUGGGCUGAGCUAACUGAAUUGGGCUGGGCUGGGCUGAGCUGGGCUUGCUGGGCUGAGCUGGGCUAACUGGGCUGAAUUGGGCUGAACUCAGCUGAGCUGGGCUAUGCUGGCCUGUGAGCUGAACUGAGGUGAUCUGGGUUAAGUUGCGCUGAAGUGGGCUGAUCUGGCCUGAGCUGGGUGAGGUGAAUGGGAAGGGGUUGGUCGGGAUGGAGCCCCACCUCAGGGUCCUGGUCUCCAGCCAGCCUGUUGACCCUGUUUCUUGGGGACCCAUGGGUCAGGCAGCCUCAGGGUGCAUCCGUGAUGCUCUCUCCCCCUUCACCAGUUGCCCUGAUGGGAACGGAAAGUACAAGUGGGCAGACCACGCCCUGUGUAGCCCAGCCUGCCCGGGCGGACAUCCCAGAAGGACUGAUUUAGAUUUGGGCCUUUGGCCUCGAAACUCCUGUAGGCCACAGAGGUCGACUUGGAGUUUGUUAGGGCCUGGGGUGGGAGGAGAGUGGUGGGUGGUUGGACUGGGACCUGGACUGGGGAAAUGGGAGAAGGCACAGAAGGCACAGGCCCCCUCUCCUCCCCAGAGUCACCUCCAGCACAGGCUCAGCUUCAAGUCAGAGCACUCUGUCAUCACCUGUGCCCUGCCAGGGGCCCAACCCCUCACGCCCCUGAGCCCUAGGGGAGGGUAUGGCUGUGCCGCCACCCAGACAGGAGCUGGGGCUCCGGCAGCAGUGGGAGAGCCAUGUGUGAUAACUACAACUUCUGCUGGGAGUGGCCUGUGCCAGAGGCCCUGUCCAAGGAGCGUGUCUGGGUCCACGUGCUAGAACUCUGAGGAGUGUGUUCAAAAACAGUGCAGCUGGACUCAGGAGGGUGGGUCCAACCCCAGGUCCAGGGUGUACGAGCUGCCUGACCUUGGGGCAGUCACUAACCCUCUCUGUGCCAGUUUCCUCUGGUGUAAAGGAGAGGCGGGCACCGUCCCAGCCUUGUGGGACUGUCUCAGGGGUCCAGGCCGCACGAGAGCCCGCCGUCUCACAGCACGUCUUGUGUUGCAGCCUCUGUGACCAGCCCCAGCAUCUUCCCGCUGAGCCUCCAGAAAGCUGACUCAGGUGACCCUGUGGUCAUCGCCUGCCUGAUCACAGGGCUUCUUCCCGCUGGGCUUCCCAGAGCCCGUGAAGGUGACCUGGGGCAAGAGCGGGGAGGUCAGGAACUACCCCCCCUUGGAGGCCGGGGGCCUGUACACCGUGAUCAGCCAGCUGUCCCUGUCCGGCCAACCAGUGCCCAGAUGACGCAUCCGUGAAGUGUGAAGUACAGCAUUACACCAGCCCCAGCAAGUCUGUGGACGUGCCCUGCAUAGCUCCAGUACGCCCUCCACUCCCUCCAUGCCCCUGUGAGUGCCCCUUGUGUCCAGCCUGCCGCGCCUGUCCCUGAGCCCGCCGGCCAUCGAGGACCUGCUCCUGAGCUCCAAUGCCAGCCUCACCUGCACACUGAGAGGCCUGAGAGACCCCAAGGGCGCCGCCUUCACCUGGAGUCCCCUCGAGUGGGAACGUCCCUGUCCUGCAGGAACCCAAGCUUGAACCCAGCGGCUGCUACAGCGUGUCCAGCGUGCUGCCAGGCUGCGCCGAGCCGUGGAGCAAAAAGGAGACCUUCUCCUGCACCGCCAGCCACCCUGAGCUCAAAGAGUCACAAACUGUCUCCAUCACCAAACCCACAGAACCCUUGUUCCAGCCCCAGGUCCACGUGCUGCCGCCGCCGUCGGAGGAGCUGGCCCUCAACGAGCUGGUGACGCUCACGUGCCUGGUGCGGGGCUUCAGCCCUAAGGAGGUGUUGGUGCUCUGGCUGCAAGGGCACGAGAAGCUGCCCCGCGAGAAGUACCUGGUCUUUAAGCCCCUGCGGGAACCUGGCCAGAGCGUGCCCACCUUUGCCGUGACCAGCCUGCUGCGCGUGGAGGCUGAGGCCUGGAAGAGGGGAGACGUCUUCUCCUGCAUGGUGGGCCACGAGGCUCUGCCCCUGAGCUUCACCCAGAAGUCUAUCGACCGCCUGUCGGGUAAACCCACCCACGUCAACGUGUCCGUGGUCAUGGCGGAGGCGGACGGCACCUGCUACUGAGCUGCCCCCGCCUGACCCUUGAAUAAACUCUAUGCUCGCCCAAAGCAGCCCGCGCUUC
rnacentral:lncRNA from 1 species